UCAAUGGCAAUGAAGGGAAAAAGUACGCUAUCAAUGAGUCACAGAGAGCCGGCGGAUGGUGCAAGACGGUACGAAUUGGUCGCCGAAGUUCUUUCCGGAGCUUUCCCGCUGAAAUAAGUAGGCGGGAACGGCGUGACGGUCGUUAAUGCGUCAUGAGUUGAUCAAAUGAUAAUUAGGGUGGUACCGCGGAGUUUUCCGUCCCUGGGUGCCAUCCUUUUUUGUUGAUAAUUAGGGUGGUACCGCGACCGCGUCCCGUCGUCCCUUCU
rnacentral:ncRNA from 1 species